UGAAAACACAUAGUGAGUGCUGGAGACUACAGAGCCCUCCAUAGAGAAGAGCACCAGUGGAUCAGAACAGCGGAUGCAGCAAACCGCAGUUUUGGGCGAUGUUUCAAAGCUUCCCUCAGGCACUGGGAAUCACCUGGCCCACUUUUGGCUCCUGGAGAAGAUGGCAGGCAACUGCUGGCUGCUUGGAGUUCACGGGGAGUGGGUCAGUUAGGCCCAUGAGGACUCCUGUGUGUUCUCCUUUGAUUUGAGACAUGGGACAUGGUCUAAUCACCUGAGAGCGAUGUUCCAAGGUUUCCCUGUGUGCUGGGAUUUAACCCAUGCACCUUCAGCUCCUGGGAAUGAAUUCAGGCCCCUGCUAGCUGCUUGGUGAUCCCUGGGCAUAGCACAGUUAGGCCUGCAAGGACCUCCUGUAUGUCCUCUGGGGAUUUCAGAUGUGGGGCCUGGUCUUAUCAUCUGGGUGCAAAGUUCUGAGUCUUCCCUAUGUGCUGGGAUUCAAUCUGUGCAUGUUCAGGGCCCGAGACUCAAUUCCAGUCCUUGCCAUCCACUUGCAGUUCACUGGGCAUGGGCCAGUUAGGGCCCGUGCAUCCUCUGGUGAUUUCAGAUGUGGUAUAUGGUCUUCCUGCCUGAGAGUGAUAUUCCCAGGCUUCCCUGUGUGCUGGAGUUCAACUCAUGUAUGCUCAGGACCCAGAUACCCCCUGUCUUCUACAACAAUUUCACAAAGUUUGUAUGAUGCUACUUUGUUCUCCAGCCUUGCUUCUAAUUUCUUCAUCUUCUCCUCCUGCUUUUUCUUCUUUCUCUAUUUUCUCGCAAUCCCUUUUAAAUUUUCCUCCUGAUGGAAAAAUUGAUAUACUGACUAUAUAGUUGCUUAUUUACUGAGUGCAAUUUUCUGGUUCAUUUUAAAUUUUUUUAUACAACCACAAAUCUAAUUCAUAUGGUUAAAUGUGGCAAAUUAAUAGUUACCUCAAUUUACAAUCUGUGUUUGAUGAUAUUGUUAUUGCUGAUUGUAUCACUUUAACUAAAGUGAUGUAGUUGUUCUAAUCAGUUGUUCUUCCUGGUAUACUAAGACUGAGAUUGCUUAAGGAUCAUAAAAAAUACGUUAGGCUAGUACCAAAGAAUCAGAGGCUGGGCCAAGUAGGCAGCAACUUCUCAUUCCCAAUAAAUUAAAGAGAUAGGAUCUUGAAAUAGAUUCUAAACCCAAAAGUCAGCAACACCUGGAAGAUACCUCUGAGAAGUAGUCAUUUUGUAAAGUCUAUAAAUACUAGCAAUAAAGUUACUCACUAGAGGCAAAUUUGUAAGCAUCAAGCCAUGAAUUAACUAAAAAAAUUUACAGAAUGAGAAGACAUUUAAAUAAGAUGCAACCCUAGAUUUCCAGUUCACCAAAGGCAAAACCAAGGGACAAUGAGGACAGGUAGUUUGAAAGCCACUCACCUGGACUCUCUAAAGUGGUAAUAGAAGAAGUUACUAAGCAGAUGAAAAAGAUUUUAGAAAAAAUGAAAUCAGAAAUAAUUUCUCAGAUAAUUACUGUGAUGGUGACCAUAAUGAAAGACACGUUUUAUAACUCUAAAGCAGACACAGAUUAAAGAGAGAGAGAGAGAGAGAGAGAGAGAGAGAGAGAGAGAGAGAGAGAAGCUUAGGAAAAUGAUGGAAAGCAUGCAUGCCCAACAUAGGACAGCAGCGGAAUUCAUAACAUAGAUUUAAACAGAUAUCCAGGAGAUUAAAAAUUGCAUUGAAAAUACCCACAGCAGAAUGAGCCAAUGGAAGAUAGAAUCUCAUAUAUAGAAUACAGGAUUGCAGUUAGUGAUCAUGAAAAGAAAGAUGCCCUAAACAUAGCAAAGAGCCAUGAGAAAUCAAUCUAGCAACUGCUAGAUUAUGCAAAGAAGAAUAACAUAAGAUUGAUUCAAGUCACUGAAAAAGCAGGAGAUAGCACAAAUGACAUACAAAAAAAUCUGUUCACAGAUAUCAUGGCAAAAAACUUCCCUGGCAGGGUAAAAGAAUUUGAUGUACAGAUAAAUGAAGCAUACAGAACUUUAGUUACCCAUGAUCAAAAAUAAAUCUAUAGCCAGGUUGGAUUCUAGAAAUCCAACACAAGAACAGAAUAUUAAAAGCUGUUAGAGAAAAUAAGCAAAUCAUCUAAAAAGAAAACCGCUCAGAAUCAUGGCAGAUUUCUAAAUACAAACCCUCAAGUCAAGGAAAGCUUGGAGUAAAAUAUUUCAAGCUAUAAAGGAAAACAGUCUCUAACCCAGACUGACGUAUGCCACACCUUUCAAAAUUGAUGGAGAAAUCCAAUACUUCCAUGACAAAGAAGAUUAAUUAAUGAACACCAAACCAGCACUCUGAAAUGUGCUGAAGGACAUUCUAGAAAGGGAGAAGCAGGACUACAACUACAUGAACACCCAACAGAAUUAAUUCACCAGACAAGGCAACUAAUUAAGCAGAGGGAGAAAAAGGAAGCCAACAAGGGGAAAAUAACAUGACAAGGACAAGUUGAUACAUAUCCUGUAUAUCCAUGAAUAUUAAUGGACUGAAUACACCAAUCAAAAGAAGGAAACUGGUAGAAUGGAUCAGGAAGGAAGAUCCAGCAAUAUGUUACAUACAAGAAACACAUUUAAUUGAAAAAAAUCCACAGAAUGAAAGUCAGGGGAUGGAAAACAGCACUCCAUGCAACACGAACCCAGAAAAAAGCAGGGGUAACUAUUCUAUUUGCAGAUAAAGUGGAUUUCAAGUCAAGACUGAUUCAAAGAAUGUCACUAUAUCCUUGCAAAAGGAGCAAUACAAAAGGAAGAGAUAACAGUUAUAAAUAUACAUGCAACAAACUGCAAUACACCAAACUAUAUAAAACAAAUUUUAAUGGACAUGAAAAAUCAAAUAAAAAGUAAUACAAUUGUAAUGGAGGGCCUUAAUACCCCACUGUCACAAAGAGACCAACUAGAAAAAAAAAUAAUGAUAUAUUAGAACUGCCCCAAAUUUCUGACAAAUGUACUUAGUAGAGGUUUACAUAGUAUUCUACCCUACAGUGUCACAAUAAACAUUCUUCUUACAUGCACACAGGACAUUCUCCAAAUACACUACAAACUAGAUCAUAGGACAUACCUAAAUAAAUGCAAAGGAGCUGAAAUUAUUCCAUGCAUAUUAUCAGAUCAUAGUGCAAUGAAAUUGGAAAUCAAAGGCAAAGGAAACCAUGACAAUGUUAUAAACACAAGAAGAUUAAGUAAUACCCUUUUGAACAACUAAUAAGUCACAGAUGAAAUUAAAGAAAAAAUUAGACAGUUUUUUUACAAUUAAUAAUGCCUAUGAAACAUAACAGAAUUUAUGGGGCACAAUGAAGUAAUUCUACAAGUGAAAUUUGUAGUGGUAAAUACUAAUACCAGGAAAACAGAGCAAUCUCAAAUAACUUAAUGUUGAACCUCAAGCUUCUAGAAAAAAAAAAAGAGGCAGACCAUGUAGGAAAAUAGAAGCCAGUUCACUUUUCCCAUCAGUUAGCAGAGCCCAUGCUGGGUUUGAGACCAGCACAUCAAGAAACUAGUUUGAGCUUCCCACAAGCCCUGCAGAUCAGGGAGGGCCCAGGAAGACAAAAGCCACAUUGCCUUAUCUGUGAGCCAAAUGGUAUAUGGUCUGAAUAUCAAGAUCCUCCGCUCCCAUAAGUAACUGACUGGUUCAGAGCACAGGCUGAGUUGAUAGCAACCGAGGCAUAAAAACAACUAAAUGCUUUUGUUGUUUGAUUGAUUUUGAAGGACUGAGCAUCUAUUGGGAGGGAAAUAGUAUACAAUAUUGCAAAAAUGGGGAAUUUUCUUCCAUCAUGUAUUUUAAAUCCAAAUAUUGUUCUGUUUUGAUUUGUUCCAAUUAAUUGUUUUGUUUUAUUUGAUGCUCUAUUUUGGUUGGUUUCGUUGCUUUUUUAAAAAUUUGAUUUUUCUAUGGGAAUGGAAACUGUUGUGAAGUUUACAAGAUAUAUUAUAGUAGCCAUUUUUAUGACCUAUUGUGCUGUGUUGAAGUUCUGUACCACUUUCACUGCUUUGUUUUGAUUUGCUUUAUUCUGCUUUGUGUUUUGGGGUUUUAUUUUCUUUACAAUAAAAAGAAAAAGAAAAGAAGCAAGGCAAGCCUAAAAUUUGUAACAAGGAGGAAAUUAUUAUGGUUAGAGCAGAAAUCAGUGCGCUGAAGACUAAGAAAACAAUAUAAAGAAUGAAUUGAGAAGCUGCUUCGUUUAAAGAUUAAAUAAAAUUGACAAAUCUUUAGCCAACCUUAUCAAGAAAAAAGGAAAAGACGAAAAUUUGUGUCAUUAGGAAUGAAAAGGAUGAAAUCACCUGCAAAAAUCCAGAAGGCUGUCUCUACAUACUUUGAUAAUUUGUAUUCUGAUAAGAUAGAUACUGCAGAAGAAAUGGACAGAUUCUUGGAUACUAAUGAAUUAGUAAAGCUGGAUCAAGAUGAUAUAAAAAUAUCAGUAAACUGGGAUUCAUUGAGAACAUGGUGGAUAGAUAACAACAACUAUGGACGCUCUCUGAGUUAGCCAGCUUAGAAUCUAGCAAUGGUGCGGUGUGGGGAGUCCUAAGCAGGAGUGAUACUCCCUGCCGACUCAGGAACGAACUAAGCUGAGAGAAACCAACUGAAAAUGCAAUCCUGGUGCUACGACUGGAACAGAUAAAGUCUCAGCACAGAAGCUGGAACCCACGCCUCUGCAAACUGCAAUUUGAAUUUCCUGCCACCACUGCUGCAUCUGAAUCGGCAUAGCAGAGAUAGAGAUGGAAAGCUCUGAGAGCAGGAAUCGGUGAACUGAAUUGAGAGCAGAACUGGCGGGGAGUCCUGCUUCGACCUGCGGUGAGUGAGAGGAAUGGGGACCCGUCCAUAGAGUAGGAGGCUCCAACAGAGGACAUACUGGGACUGGGCAAACUAGCCGAAACAGGACACUACAAUGACUUCAGUCACAUAUUCCCCUCUCAAGCGAGACUGGUGGGGAGUGCUUGACCUGGGUGAUGCUGCGGACUAAGAGCCAGUAGGCUAGCCCAAACCAGGUCCCUGCAUCUGGUGGUGCACCCUAGCAGUGAAGUCUUCAGUAGGUUGACCUGAAGGGGUGGGCCCAGCAUAGGCUGCCCAGGUCUGUGUCUCUCUAGUACACUGCAAUGUACUAGGUGGGAACACCUAGCCAGCACAAUUCAAACAAAUUGAAACCCACAAAGAAAGAAACUGGGCCUCCUAUAUAUGCCUGUAUGGAAGGAACAAAAAAUAUGAGAAGAGGAGGCAACAAGAAAAGGUCCUCGGUCCCCAAUCCUGAGAACACUGAUCCAGGAAAGGUAAAUGCAAAGGAGAAUGAGGACAGAAAACAUGCAAUAUCAGACACGGCACUAAUAGACAUAAAGCAAUAUCUCCGGAGCCUCAUAGACGAGUUCAAAAGUGAAGUAUUUAAUGAAGUAAAGCAAGAUAUAAGUAGAAUAGUUAAAGAAAUGCUAAGCACCUCCCAAGAAAAAACAGAUAGUGGAAUGGAAGAACAGAAAAAAAAGGGAGAAUUGUUUGAUGGAGAAAAUAGAGAAAACAUAGAAUACAUGAAGCAGGUUUAAAGAGACUACCAGGAAACUAAAAACUCUGUUGAAAGCUGGCAUAACAGCUUGAAAGAAACUCAGGAUAGAUUAUGUGAACUGGAGGACAGAUUUGUAAUGUGGGAGCAUGAAAGGAGAAACUUCUUAAAAAAUAUAAAUAAACCAGUAUCAGUCAAUGAAUUGAAGAUGUAAUUAAGAACUUUCCAACAAAGGAAAACCCAGGCCUUGACGGAUUCACUGCUAAGUUCUACAAGAAAUGUAGAGAAGAUCUAAUGCUGCUACUUCUCAGACUCUUUAAUAAAAUUGAAAGGGAAGCAAUACUACCAAAUUCAUUCUUGGAAACAAGCACCACCCUGGUACCAAAACCAGAGAAGGACUCAACCAAGAAAGAGAACUACUACAGGCCAAUCUCCCUAGUGAGCAUAGAUGCAAAAAUCUUCAAUAGGAUAUUGACAAACAGAAAGCAGCAUUUCACUGAGAAGUGUACAUAUUAUAACCAACUAGCAUCCUUCCCAGGGAUGGAUGGUUCAACAUACACAAAUCAAUAAAAAUAAUACACCAUAUUAGGAGAAACAAGGAUAAAAACUAUAUGGUCAUCUCAAUAGAUGCAGAAAAAGCAUUUGACAAAGUCCAUCACAAACUCAUGAUAAAAAUCCUACAGAAAAUUGGAACCGGUGAUUUUUAUCUCAAUCUGAUAAAAGCCAUCUAUGACAAAUCAAUGGUCAACAUUAUACUAAAUGAUCAAAAACUGAAAUCUUUCACUCUAAAAUCAGGAACAAGUUAAGAAUGCCCACUUUUGUCACUUCAAUUCAAUAUAGUUCUGGAAAUACAGCUAAGCAAAUUCAAAAAGAGAAAGAAAUAAAAGGAAUAAGGAUAAGAAAAGAAGAAUUUAAACUGACAUUAUUUGAGGACAGCAUGGUAUUCUACAUUGAAGAUAUCAAAAACUCCAUCAAAAGACCUUUAGAUUUAAAUAUCAAAGUCACUCAUGUAGCUGGAUAUGUCAAGACUUAAAAAUCAAUAGCUUUCCUGAAAAAGAAAAAGCAUGGAAUAAUUAACUCAUGAAUAACACUCACUGACAGAGAAAUUAGGGAAACAACAACUUUCACAACACAUUCAAAAAAUUGAAAUAUCUAGGCAUCAAUCUCUAUACUGAAAAGUACAAUACUUUGAAAAAGAGUACCGCAGAGACUAUCAGAAAAUUAAAAAAUAUCCCUGACUCUUGGGUAGAAAGAAUUAAUAUAGUGAAAACGAUCAUACUUCCAAAAUUGUUAUGCAGAUUUAAUGUAAUCUCAAUCAAAAUUCCAAAAGCGUAUCUUACAGAAUUAGACAAAAUAAUCCUAAAAUUAAUUUGGAAACAUAAAAGACCUAGUAUAGUGAAGACAACUCUGGGCAACAAAGACAACACAAGAUGCAUCACGAUUCUUGGCUUCAAAUAAUAAUACAAAGCUACUGUGAUAAAACUAGCAUGAUAUUGGCAGAAAAAAAAAAGCCUAAGGAUCAAUGGAACAGAUUAGAAGACACAGAAACAACUCUAGAUACUUAGCCACCUUAUCUUUGACAAAGGUGUCAAACAUGUUCAGUGGAUGAAAAAUAGCACAUUUAAUAAAUGGUGCUGGAAAAACUGGUGCUCCAAAUGUCAAAGAUUGUAAAUAGACUCAUAUUUUUCAUCAUGUACAAAACUAAAAUUCGUAUGGGUCAAAGAUCUAAAUAUUAAAACAGAAACACUAAAUCUGCUGGGAGAUAGAAUAGGUAUAGUUCUUGAAGGUGCUGCUGUAAGCAAAGAGUUUACGAGCAAAACCCCAACUGCAUAGUUACUAUUACAAACCAUCAAUAACUGGUAUUUCAUCUCCUUACAAAGCUUUUGCACAGCAAGAGAAACUGAUAACAGAGUAAAGAGAAAUCACAAUGUAGGAAAAAUGUUUUUCCUGCUAUUCCUCAGAUGAAGGCCUAAAAUCUAGAAUCAGUAAAGAACUCAAACAACCCCCCCCCCAUACUUAAGGCCAAAUCAGAAAAAGGUCACCUAAAAUGAAUAGAACCUUCUUAGAUGAAGACAUAGAAACAGCAAAUAAAUGUAUGAAAAAAAGUUCAGCAUAUUGGUAAUUCAAGAAACGAAAAUAAUACAACACUAAGAUUUCAUCGUAUCCUAGAAAGAAUGAUGGCUAUCAAGAAAUCAACCAAUAACAGAUGCUGGAUGGGGUUAUGGAGAAAAACAAACACAUUUCCACUCAGUGGGAGUAUAGACUGGUGCUACCACUGUGGAAAUAAAUACAGAGACUCCUCAAAAACUAGGACUAAAGAUUCCAUUUAAUCCAGGUAUCCCUCUUCUUGGUAUCUGUUGUAAUCAAGUUUUGCAAGAACAAGACAAUUCAGGACACAUAAUUUGUAGUAUUAUUUUAUGAUAUCACCUGAAGAGUCAAAUACAAAGAAAGUGCAGGAAAUCUGUCCACACACUAAAGACCGAGAGAGUCCAUCCCAAGGACUGGAUCUCAUGGCAAUGUCCUGCAUAAGUUCAGCUGAAGACCUAGAGCCCAUGACAUUGCAGAUCACAAGUCCCCUGACAUCCUAGAGCCCAUGACAAUGACUCACACAAGUAUGUUUUAUGGAUCUGUGCUGGGAAGGGCCAAAGGUCAGUACAGGGUAAAGGAUCUGUGUCAGUAGGCUGAAGGAUCUGCAUUGGAGCCAGGAUGUGACAUUCAAAGGACCAGAGCUCCCUUGGAAAGUACCACAGCCAUGCUCAGCAACAGUGAGGUCCCAAGCUGAUGACGAGAACAACUGAGUUCAUAUCAGGAAGCCGACAUGACAAGCUUCUCUAGAAGACUGAACAGCACACUUUUUCCCCUCCAGAGCCAGGAAACAAUGCUCAAAGGAAUAGAGCUCCCUCAAAGUGAACCACACUUAUUCUCAGCAACAAGGUUCCAAACUCUUUUGAUGAUGAAAACUGCCAACUUCAUAUCAGAAAAGCAGCCCAACAUACUCCUCCAGGAGAACUAACAACACUGCACUCUUCCUCUCCAGGUCUCCUUCUUAUCUUGGCAAUUGUCUUCAACUGGGUCAUCUGUGCUCAGCACCAUGCUGAUUCAGUUCAGCUGGUGCUACAUGUUGAUCACCAGUUAUCAAUCCACCAUGGUAUCUUCCCAAAAAUAUUAAAAGCAUCAUGCCACAGUAAUAUAUGUACAUCCGUGUUUAUAGCAGUACAGUUUGUAAUAAUUAAAUCUUGGAAUCAACCCAAAUAUGCAUCAACCAAUGAUAAGAUCUUCAACAAAUAUUACUGAAACAAUUGGAUGUCUGUAACAUGACCAAAAAUUAAUAUCAAUCUAUACUUUAUGUCUUCUACAAAUAUUAACUCAAAAAUAUAUCACAGAGAUAAAUGCCAAACUAAAAAGCAUAUAAGAAAAUAUGGGAUGAACUUUUCAUACUCUUAAAGCUAUACAAAAGAUUUUUAAAUUUGACACUAAAAUCAUGCUCCAUGAAAGAAAAAUUGAUAAGUUGAAUUCAUCAAAACUAAAACCUUUUGCUUUCUGUAAAAUACUGAGAGAAAUAAAGAAAAAAAAAAACAAGCUACAAACUAACAUCUGACAAAGAAUUAUCUAAACAACUGAAAGAAUAUAAAGUGCCAGAACCCAAUUAAAAAUGGAGCAAAGUUUUGAAAAAGACACUUUCCUACAGGAGAUUUAGAGCUGACAAAUAUGAACAUGAGAAGAUGCAGAGCAUGUUGAUGAAAACACCAACAGAACAUACACACUGUUAAUGAUAAGCACCCUUUUGUGUGGUCCUGAAAAUAAAGCUGAGAAGCUAGAAACUGCAUGCCUUGCUGGUGUGAAUGGAGAACAGAGGAAGCAUCCUGCAAAUUGGUUGGCAUUUUCUUAUGCAGAUAAAUACACCGUGUGUGAUGUAGCAAUACUACUCCCAGCUAUUUUUGUCAGCAAUAUGAAAUUUUACAUUCAUAUAAAAUCCUGUGUGUUAACCUUUAUAAAAGGAUUCUUCAUAACUACCUUAAACUGGAGAUGAUUUUAAUAAUCUUUGACUAAUAACUGGUUAACAUGAGCAUUAUACAACUCAAGAAUAAAAAGAAAUUACACGUGAAGCAACACUUAUGUACAUCAAAAACAUGUAAAGGAAGUCAGUAAAAGGUUACACAGUGUAAGGUUCUAUUUGAAUAUCAUUUCAUAAAAGGCAAAUCUGUAGGGAUGGAAAGUAAAUUAGUGUUUUUUAACAUCUAGGAUCCAGGAGUGACUUUAAAAGUAUUUUAUAUUUUAAUUUUAUUUUGCAAAUGGUUAGUAAAAAAAGGAGUUUUGGGGAUGAGAGUAUGUUUUGUAACCAGAUUGUAGAAGUGGUCAGACAAUUCUAUAUAUUACUUAAAACUCAUAGAGGUUUAUGUCAAAAAUACAAAGAAAAUUUUAUUGUAUGUAAAUUGAGAAAAAGCCCAGUAAUAGCUGAUAUAUAGUGAUUGCUAUGGUUUGCAUGUAGUUGUUAUUUUGGAACUCAUUCAGGCAUUUAAUCCUUAAAGUCUUACAUUAAUGAUAUUAGGAGGGUAGAAAAUUAGUUACACUCCAAUAUUAAACAUAGGACUUUGGGAAUGAUUAGAUGAGGUAAGAACAUUAUGUUGGAACUUCCAUGAUUGAAUUCUAAUGGCCCAGGACCAAAGUUCCACUUCUGGAAUUAGCCAUUGCAGGUUGAAUUUUCUGCAAAGAUGCUAAGAGAGUUUAGAUUACAAGAUAUGUGUCACGGAAUAUAAGGAGGUCCAAAAUGGUAGGGCCCUUAUAUGCCCAAAUAUCUUAUGUGUACAUACAGCUUGCAUCAGAAAGACUGAUCUCAAGUGAGGUGACUUUCUGGUGACUGUUCUUUCAAAAAAGAAACAGCAUUCCAAGUUGAAAAGUAAAACCAUGGUGGCACAGUAAAUCACAAUUUGCAGGUAACUAAGAAUUUCUGUGUAGCUAAAGCUUAAAGGACUGUGUAUACAGAAUUAAAGAGCUUGGAAUUUUGAUAAUUUGCUCUUUGUUGAGUGAUUUCUACAUGACUUGUAUGUUAUACACAUUAUUAUAUUUUAUCUGUAAGAUUUUCCAAGAUAGCAUUAUCAACAAUUUACACAUCAAGAACGAGGCUCAAAGAGUCUAAGUAAUGUAGAAGAUCAUACAUUUAAUGCUGGAUGAUGGAAAUUAUUAUUAUUCAAUAAUGAAAUUCCCAAAUUUAAGCUUGGCUUUACCUUCCAUUUUUUAUAAAGAACACAUUCUUUAUCUGAGAGGGGAGGAUGAACAUCAAAUGAUUUAAUGUUCAUUGUAGAUAGAUAAUUAUAUGGGAGAAAUAUGAAAGUGGACAUGCUGGUAGGUAAGUUUCUGUGGAAGGUUGUCAGAGAAGCUGGUGUGAGAGAUGCUGGUGUCUGGUCUGGUCAAUGAAAGUGAGAAUGAGAAGAAGUUGAGAAGACAUGUUAAAUUAUCAAGACAUUGAGAAUGAAUGAAAAUAGAGGUUGUAGACAAUGAGGAAUGAUAAGAACUCCAGGAUUAUAUUUGGGGCUACAUUGUGAUUCAUGCCACUAACAGCAACUAUACUUACAAAAUAAUUAAUUGUGUAAGUAUGUAUCUCCUCCAUCAGAAUGUGGUCUGAGGCUAUUGAUUACUUCCUCAAUGUAGCACUUAACAUAGUACCUGGCAUAAUUGGUUUGUAAAUCAGAAUGGCUUUUACUGAAAAUAAUCUAAGCAUGGCCAUAGUACCAUGAUAUUAUCAGUUGUGUCAAUAUUAUUCAGAAUAAUGAUCUUAUUAGAGAAUAUAAACUUUUUAUAAUACGUCAUCAUAAUUUCAUUUUGCAAAUCUGUUAUUUCUCUUGAGUAUUUCUAUACUUACCUUUCCCCCUAGAACUUCAGCUGAAACUCAUCCUAAAAGUCCACUUUUGAAAAAAUAUCAAGUAAAAACUCAUGAAUUAAGUUUGAUGAGAAUUUUGACAUAAACUCAGUCAGGCAGUGGGUUAAACUAACGUGGCAGUAAGAUUCGGGCACUCUUAUAUACUAAAAUCUUGAUAUAAUAGUCCUUCCAGGGUCUUUUCUGUCUGUUGCCUUCUAAAUAAAUCUUUAAUGAGAUUCCUUAAAAAUUUCAGUAACUAAGCCCUCCAGCUCCAUCUGUCAUACAAUAAAUCCUAUCUUUUAGAGAGAUGUCAGUGUAUUUUUAUUAGUCAAGCAUCUAAUUUUGUACACUGAUUUAAUCCAUUCAGGCAGUUUCUGAUUUACCACAGUUUAAUUUAUGAUUUUUUGACAUUGUGAUGGUGAAAACGGAUGCCUUUGGUAGAACUCACACUUUGAAUUUUGAGUUCUGGUAUUUUCCUAAGCAUUAAUAUAUGUUUUGAUAAUCUCUCUUGAUACUGAGCAGUGUCAGCAAACCACAGCUCCCAGCCAGCCAGGCAAUCCUGAGGGCAAACCACUGCAGUUCUGCGUAUGCUAAACUGUGAUGCUUGGUAGGUUAGGUGCGGUAAGUGUAUUUCUGACUUAUGAUGUUUUCAGCUAAGAGGCGGUUUUAUAUAGCCAACUUUCUGUUGCUAGGAGAAAUGUCUCACUACUUGUUUUAUUUUGGUUUAUGAUUUCAGAAGUUUUAUCUCAUGCUUGGCUGGCUCCAGCACAGUAGUAUCAUGGAGAAAAGGGUAAGGUAGAGAAAAGAAGCUCCCUUCAUGGAACCCAGAAAACAGAAAAGAAACAACCGUAGUGAGGAAGGAGUCAGGAGGAGUCACAUCCUUCAGAGAUGUGUCCUCAGUGACCUACUUCCUCCAACUGAGCCCUGCCUCUUCGUGGCUCAUUGAUCUAUGAACUCAUCCAUAGAUUCACCCAAUAGAUGAAAUUAGUGCUCUCAUACUUGAGACUUUAGGGGAUUUUUCAUAUUUAAAUCACACCAGGUUUAUUGGGACAUUCACCCCAUCAUAAGUCUAGUAGUAUCUUUACAUUCAGCAGACACCUGAAACUGUAACAAGAAAAUUUAAAAAUGAUCCACAAAUAUUGUCCACAUCAGUGCAUGUUCUUAAUAUUUCUGUUGUCUGCCAAUUUAUAUGUUGAAACCUAAUCACCAAGGUGAUGGCUUGGGAGAGUUGUUUAACUCAUGCGAGUGAAAACCAUGUGGAAGGUAGGCCCAUCUCAGUUACCCAGUCCACCAUGUGACCAUGCAGGAAGAAGUCGCUGAUACCGAGGAGUAGAUCCUCGACAGAUAGCAUUUGUCAGCACCUUCAUCUUGGACUGCCUAGACUCCAAAACUGAGAAAGACACCUCUGUUGUCUGUAAGCUACCAGGACAUUUUGUUAUAGAGCCUCAAUGGAGUAAGACAUUUGGUCAUUUACAAAUUGGAUACCACAAAGCUAGGCACAUAACUUCUCUGAACCUCAGUUCUUUUUUCAUAAAAUGAAGAAAGCAAUAUCUUGCAGGAUUGUUACCAGAAUUGUAGGUUAUCAUGUAACUGAGUUUACUUAGCCAUGAGAAUUAUCAUUAGUAGUUCUGGUAUUACUUACUUUUAAUAAUCCAAGUUCAUCAUACAGGUGUAUGACCUAAUCACAUCAGCCAUUUGAAUUUCUCUCAUUCUCCUACCUUCCAAUACCUACCAAGCAGUGGAUAACAUUCUAAUCCUAAGUAUGACUACAAAGAGGUGGUUACAACAUGUUGUUACUGUUAGACAAUCGAAAGUCAAGCUCUGACUUGACAGAGAGUUUUCUCAAAGACCUAUGAGAAAAACCUUUAGGCGUAAGUGUCUUGUGUGCUUUUACUUGCUGAAAUCUAAUGGAAGAGUUGCCAUUUGGGGAUUGCCUGCAUCAGUGCUUCCUUCCAUUAGCACAAAGAGGUGAAAGUUGACUGCAAUUAGAUGUAAUUAGCCACUGAUCUUUUUGGACAACCAGAAAAUCUGUGCUUCUCUCACCCCCCAGACAUUAAAAGAGCACUCAGGAGAGACGGAACUUUUGCACUGGAUAAUUCUGAAUCAGAGAAUACCAAAUACUUCAAAAGCAGUACUUUUACCAUGGUCAGUUCUGAAUCUCUUUUUAGCAUAUUUAUUAAUAUAUGCCAUUAUCUGUCAGAGAGAAAGAAAGAACAAAAUAUGAAAGGAUCUUGCAAAUGGCUAUAUAACACUGUGUGUAAAACACUGAAGCUAAUUGAAUUGAAUGGCUUUGAGCUCUUGGAAGUUACAAAGUGACAAGGUUUGCUUGACAGCUAGUGAGUGAUUAUUUCCCGUCCCACUGAUUAAUUUGGUCAAUUAGUGGUAAAUAGGAAUGUCACAAGUGGAAAGGGUAAUGAGAGUCAUUAUAAAUGUAAUAGUAAAAUCGAGGGCAACCUUGACACAAGAAGGGUCUGCUGUGGCUUCCUCAGACACUGAUGGGACCAGGAGUUUAUUCCCUUUCUGCUUCUCCUUCCCUGGAGACUGCACCUUAGUUCAACCAGAACUUCUGAGAAAUCAGGAGAGACCUCUGGCAGAAUUUGUAUUGGACAUACUGAAAAAAAAAUUGCACAUGGCAUUUAAAAUAUUCAUUUGCUCUUUGAAUCUUUUAAUUAUGCCCUCAAAUUAAAAGCAGCAGUUGCACAUUAGAGUAAGUCAGGUAGAUUAAAGUCCCAAAUGUGGAGCAUACGAUGUCUGCUCAAUUGGGAAUUGCUAAUUCAAGCAUUAGAACAAGUCCCCCUGGUGUUAGUUUCCUAUGGCUACUGAAAAGAUCACCUUAAAGUAGGAGGCUUAAAAUGACAGAAAUUUAUUCUCUCUCUCUCAGGUGUGGAGGCCACUAUUAUAAUAAUGUCUUCAGUUGAAAUGCACAUUUUGGCAAGGCUAGUUUCUUCUGAAGACUCUGGAGAAGAACCUGUUGUUGCCUCUUUCCUGGUUUUUGGUGGUCAGCUACAAUCCUCGACAUCUCUUUGCUUAUAGUUGUAUCGCUCUAAUCUCUGCCUCUAUCUUCACAUUUUUUCUUUUCCUUGUAUGUCUUCUCCUUUAUUUUUCCUUUAUAAGGAGAACUGUCAUUGGAGUUAGUACCUCCCAUAAUCCAGUGUGACCUUGAAAUUCUUAAUCAGAUCUGCAAAGACCCUUUAUAGAACUAGCAUCAUAUUCGUAGGUUUUGGGAAGACAAAUCUUUUAGGUGCACCACUAUUUGACAAAAUUUAUUCACUUUCCUAGUGAAUACCUUCAAAUUUGAUCAUUAUCCUAUCUGAAAGGGCUUGGGAAGACAGAGGAUUCUGUAUGUAUAAACACAGGAAUUUAUGUUAUUUACCCUCUAACUUCAACCUAUUGUGACUGCGUGUUCAAGGAACCUAUCAGACUCAUGACAGGAUCUGACAGUCAGCUCUGUCUAUGGCAACUGGCUGCUUCACGCACCCCUUUUUUCUGAUCUGCUUGUCUGCCGUAUUGACUUAGUGUUCUUACAAUAUUCUACUUGUUUUGUCUUUUGUGUCUGAAAUCUGCUUCAAUCUUGCCAUUACCAUAGGAAACAACAAGCUGCCUAGCCUUAGUAAUUCCUUGGAGACUUGGAAACAUGUCACACCCGCCCCCUCAUUCAUUACUAAGCAAUUUAGAAACAUGUGAUUGUUACUACUGACAUUCUACCUCAUAGACUUUGUUUUGAGAUGUCUGAUUUAUUCGGCUCCAUCAGAUGCUAUUGAUGUAUGCCUCCUUGGUUAACACUUUUAUUUAAAAUCUCCCUGUGCUCAGUCUUUUUAAGUAUCUCUGUCUACCUGUCUUUUUUAGUCCCUAAACAAAGACUACUUGAGCCCAUUACUAUACUAUUAUAAUAAUGUCUUCAGUUGAAAGAGGGAAAUAUACUUUUGGAAAAUGAUUUUGCUUUCUAAAUCUAUCAUUUACAUUCAUUUGCUCCACUUUACUUUGGGAUUCUUUUGGCUCGGAACAUCUCCUAACUUGUGGCUUCCCGAUGCUGCUUUAAGCUGACUCUAGUUUAAGACUAUAUUUUUACCUGGUAACAUUCCUCCUGAUGCCACAUCACACACUGUUCCUUAAAAAAUUUGUUAAUCUUCCAGUGAUCAUAAGAAAGGAAAAACAAUUUUGAAUGGAAUAAAAUCUGUCUGUAAUCUAUCCCAUUGGCUGUGUUUUCUUCCAGCUUUCCCUUAUCCAUGAUAUACUCAGACACACACUAUGAGUUUCUCACUAAGCCCCAAACACGUCACAUACUCUUGUAGGCCCUUUUUCCCUGUGUAUACUAAACGUUCUUUAUCUUCCCUUUUGACUCCCUAACAAUCCUCCAGGACCUAUUGUUUAUAGCUUCUCUUUCCAGCAUUUUCUCACACCCUCAGGGCAGAGGUAGUUUUUCCUUCCUUUCUACUAUUUCUAUGCUACUGUUCUAUAAAAUAUGAAGCUGUAUUAAUCAUUCGUAGGUGGCCAGUCAUUCAGACAUGUGCAUUGAACUCACUGUGUUCCAGGAACAGUAUACUGUAAUUUUCUGCUUAUAUUUAUCCUCACUAGUCAUUGAACCUCAUGGGGUGAAUAGUGGCCUCCCCCCAUCCUCUAGGGCCUUUCACAUUGACAAGAGACUGUCAUUGCUAACUUGAUCAGAUUAAGAGGUGCCUCACAGAUUAGUAAAGACACACUUCUGAGAGUAUCCAUAGGGGUGCUUCCACAGAUAAUUGGCCUGCGGGCCAACAGGCUAAAGGGGGAUGACCCAUCUGGGUUGGUGGGUGGCACCAUCCAAUAGCCUCAUAACCCAGAUGGAACAGAAAGUUGAGGUACGAGGAAAUCAGCAUGCACUUAAACAGCUCCAUUCUUCUUAAAUUGGCACAUCUUUUGUUACUGCCAUCCUCUGAGGAUAUCAGGUUCCAGCUUCUUUAGCCUUUCAGUAUGGACUCUCACCAGGGCCUCUCCACGGAGCAGCUGGUCUUCAGUUUUGGACUGGCCCUGCAUUCUUCUUGUUCUUGCAUCAUUCCUUUUGUUCAAAGGUCUCUUGCUUCUUGGACUAAAUAGCUGCUGGAACCUCUGGUUCUCCUGAAUGCAGAUGGCUAUCUGACCAACUGGAUUCUGAUCUUAGCUAACAAAUAAAGCCAAUCUAAAAAAUCCCCCUUCAUAUGUACAUAUAUAUUUUUACAUUGUUUUUAUUUAUUCCCUCUACAGAACUCUAAUCAAUACAGAGGUCUAAGUAAACAUUUGAUGAAUCAUGAAAGGAAUGAAUAAAUAUCAAGUGACAGGAAAAGUUCAUUGUUGCUAAAAAUCUUUUGGUCAAUACCACCACAUAGAUAUCCACAACUGAAGAGACGAAGAAAGCUCGUUCCAUCUGCUGCUUCCCCUCCCCUUCUCCCUUCAAAUCCAACUAGGUUAAGUUUUAACUUCCUAAAGGCCAUAAAACAAAGGCCUGAGGUACUAGCUCCUGACAUCCUGGGUCUUCCCUAUCUGGUAGCCCCAUCACAAAUUGUGUUAAUUGCAUCAGAUUGUAUUAGAUUGUACAUUCUUCACAGAAAUAGCUUCGUUUAUAUCAUAGUAAUACCUGUAACUGUAAAUGUGUGUCUUCCUUUUUCCCUGGGUAAAAGAUUGAUAUGUUAAUCAAUGCUCUCUUCUGUAAAGAAUUGUAAAAUCUUACCCAAUUGAUAUGUUAACCAUUGUUGCCCUCUACAAAUAGAAAGGUUGUGGUACUAAAGUAAGGUAAUUAUGUCAGGAAACUCAGAGAUAAAGUCUGCUGACUAUGCUAAUCAAGAUUGGGAAGUAUGUCAGAACCAAGCCACACAGGAGCUAGGUGACCUAAAAAUAAGCUGUGCAAAACAAGACAGUUAAUCAACUCUGACCCACUGGUCGCCCCUCAUGAUCUGACCAAUCACAAAUGGACAAAUCACCAACUGUUCUGCUCUAACUGCUAUGAUUGGCUUCUGUAACAAUGCUUGCUUGCUUUGCGGUUUUCAUCCUUAAAAACACCAGCCUUGCCCCAACUCAGGGUUCUCCGUUUCCACCUGUUUGGAGGACCCCGUGUACACGGAAUAAUAAAAACCCCAUUGUUUUUACAUGAGAGCGAGGCCCUUGGAGUCUUCCUCGCGACACCGGUCUAACAUUUUGGAGGCCCUAGCGAGAUCAAACUGAGAAGAGACCUCCUCGCAGAGGGAGACCCCAACGGCACCUCUCUGGGGUAAGUAGUACGGCCAGUUUUUGUUUACUUUCAUUUUGGAUCGAUCCGCCAUUUCCUUUCGCCCCAGGCCGAACUCCGGCUCUACUUCACGGGCAAAUUCUGUUCUUGGGUGAUCGGGGGACGCCCCACACGGUUUUCCGUGACUCACCGUCUGCGAUAGGAUUUUCCUAUCGAUCUGGGGAAUUUCAUUCCCAAUCUGUGGUCCGUCUGGGCCAAUCUGGGGAAUUUCAUUCCCAAUCUGUGGUCCGUCUGGGCCAAUCUGGGGAAUUUCAUUCCCAAUCUGUGGUCCGUCUGGGCCAAUCUGGGGAAUUUCAUUCCCAAUCUGUGGUCCGUCCAGGCCAAUCUGGAGGCACCCCCUAAGGUGACUCGUUUGAUGUGAAACUAAUGCGUGAGAGUGAGGUGGCCGGCCUGUUUGUCCUGUGUGUUGUGACUGUUGUGAUCCGUUAUUUGUUGUGUCGCGCGUACGCUAACCACUCUUUGUCUUCAGAACACCAUGGGACAAACGACAUCGUCCCCAUUGUCCCUCACCCUCGACCAUUGGUCGGAGGUUCGAGAGAGGGCUCACAAUCUCUCCUUUCAGGUUAAAAAAAGUAAAUGGCAGACUUUCUGCUCGUCUGAGUGGCCCACAUUCUCCGUGGAUUGGCCACCGGAGGGGACUUUCCACCUUCCCCUCAUCUUAGCAGUUAAGAACAUCAUCUUCCGCCCUGGACGAGAGAGCCACCCCGACUGGGUCACCUACAUCUUGGUAUGGCAGGACCUCAGGGAGGAGCCCCCACCGUGGGUAAAACCCUUCCUUCCUCCGCCCUCUCCUUGGUUGCCUGUUUAAACUUGUUACUAACUUAGGGGCUUGUUGCCCAUUUCUGUUGCAGGAUCCAUAUGGCUUAUUAGAUUCAAGGUUCAUGAUAAGAAAAAUUAUUUCCUUUAGCUGACCAAACUGUGCAAGAAGCUCCCUUCGUUUGUGUCUUUAAUGUUGUGGCGCCUUGUUUAAUAUGUAAGACUUCAAUUGAUUGCUUGCAACCUCGGCAUGCCUUUUAAAAGGAGUAUUUUUUUCUCUCUGGUGAAAAUGUAAACAUGUGCACAUAUAUAUGUAUAUCUAUGGUUGUUAAGAGUCAUGUCAACUUUGCCAAGUAAAAACCAGGCGGUACUAUAUUUGAGCCAGUUAAAAGGUUACAGUUUUGUUUUUAAAAUACAACAUUUUUAUGUGGUAAAAAGAUAUAAAAUAAGCAUGUUUUAGACUACUAAAAGGUGACUUCAAGGGUUUUGUUGAGAGUUUUGAUGUUGUCUGAGAAGUGAGAAAAAAGGUAAUUGACUGGUAAUAGUAAAAAGAGGGACAAAGAGAGUGGUCUUCAAGUAAAGGUGUCUGGCUAUGCCAGAAUGUAAAAAAAGAUUAAAGCUUAGUUUGAGAGGUAUUAUUGUAAGUUGUAGAAGGCUCAAGAGGAUGUAAAUUUUAUUUGUCUUGGUUUAUAGUACUACAAAUAACAGGUUUGACAAAAAGUAAAUGUGUUCAGAAUUUGACAGUAUUAGAUCAGUUUUGGUAAAAGUAUACAUAAGAUUGUACUUUGCUGCAAAAUGUUUUCAUUAAAAUGAGAUUAUAGGUGAUAUUAAAAAUAAGAUACAAGUUCUUACAUGUGCUGUGAACAUCUGGGAGAUUAUACAGCACAAUUUUGUUACCUAUGAAAAAGCCCUUGUUAAAAAUAUAAUUUUAAUAAAAUAAUGGCCUGUCACGUGACACCCUUGGACAAAAAAACAGUGUGCCAUCCAGAUGAAGCCGGCUCUCUGAUCCGGAAUGCCAAAACCAUGUUCUCCUUUUGUGCCACCCUGACUGGACGUCCAGAGGUAAGGAGGUUUCCCAAUAUUGCCAGUUGUUCUCUUUGUAACUCAGUCGGCCCCACAUGUUAGACAAAAAUUACAAAGGUUUGAGAGGUUUAAAAAAAUGCCCCUCAGCCAGUUAAUAGAGAUAGCACAAAAAGGUCUUUGAGAACUAAAAAAUUUACAAAAAGAUAGCCAAGGUGUUAAAAUUGCUCUAUGAGAAAAAAAACUUUUAAAAAACAGACGAGAGUUUCUGGGGGCAGUUGGAUACUGUAGGCUAAAUUUUACUGAAAAGCUUGCCUCUAUAUGACUGACUCCCAUAAGGGAGAAACUCAAAAUUCGCUGAACUGGACUGAUAAAUGUAAACAGGCCUUCCAACAGCUCAAGCGGGCCUUGACAGAGGCCCCAGCCCUGGGACUCCCUGACGUUACCAAGCCUUUCAUCUUGUUCAUAGAUAAACUCAGGGACAUUGCCAAAAGAGUCCUAACUCAGGACAUUGGCCCUUGAAAAAGGCCUAUAGCCUACCUCUCCAAAAGACUUGAUCCAGUAACAGGAGUAUGGCCCCCUGCCUAAGAAUACUAGCUACUGUGACAAUGUUACUUAAGGAGACAAAAAAACUCGCUUUGGGCAAGUGAUUUCUGUGGUAACCUCUCACAGUUUAGAGACUCUUAUCAAAACCCCUCCUAAAAAAAGGCUCUCAAAUGCCAGAAUUCUACUGUCAAGCCCUGCUUCUAGACCCAGAGUUAAUGAUAUCCAAGACUUCUUCAGCUUUAAACCCAGCCACCCUUAUGCCUGAUGAUGAUCCGGAGGAACAAAGGACACCUCUCUCCAUGAGUGCGCUGACAUCCUCGAACUGCAGCAGAACCUACAGGCUGAUCUUACUGACCAGCUUUUGGGAAAUGCCGACAACUGUUCGAUGAAAGCAGCUUCAUCCAAAACGGCAAACGAGUGGCUGGGGCAACAGUGACCGCCAAAAAGGAGGUACUCUGGGUUAAGCGGGUAGAGUCUGGCACUUCUGCCCAAAAGGCGGAGCUUGUUGCUUUGACUGAGAGGUUAAAACUAGCCACGGAAAAGAGGGUAAACAUUUUUUUUUACUGAAGACAUCCCUUUGCUACUGUACAUAUACGGGGAAGCCAUCUAAAAAUGCUCCACAGAUUCUAGAUUUGCUGGCAGCUGUCUGGCUGCCUCAAUGGGUUGCUAUUCCUCACAAGGCUCACCCAACCAGAGAUGAAAAAUAGCAACCACAUCAGAGGGGUCAACCAAAAAAGUAACUGCUCUGAUACUAGUCCUCUGACCUUGUCAGAACUAGUCUACACAAAGAAAGACCUACAGUUGGCAUCUCAACUUAGAAUAAAGUCUCCCACCCCAAGGGGCUAAUACCAGUUACCUGAUAAACAAGUACUGUUACUAGAGGCACUAGGGUGGGAGCUGUUUCACCUUGCAGAAUUGUUCAGAACUCAAUAUUUUAUUCCAAAACUCUACAAACUGACCACCUCUUCGAGCUCCAGAUGCCCACAGUGUUUGUUAGUCAACUCAGCCAAGAGCUCUGCGUUGGAGACCACCCAACAUCAAGAAAUUGUUCCAGGAGAACAUUGGGAAAUAAACUUCAUAGACAUGGUAAAACUUAAUUUACAGGGACACCGCUAUCUCUUGGUAUUAAUAAACACUUUUACUGGCUGGGUAGAGGCUUUCCCUACUAAAUCUGAGUCAGCCUUAGUGGUAGUUAAAAGGCUAUUACAUGAGAUCUUACCUUGAUUUGGCCUCCCACUAUCAAUGGGGUCCGAUAAUGGCCUGGCUUUCAUAGCCCGAGUCACCCAAAAGUUAGCCCAGGCAUUAAAGAUUAAUUAAAACUCCACUGUGCCUAUCAGCCACAAAGCUCAGGACAAGUAAAACGUAUGAACCAAAGUCUCAAGGACAUUUUAGCUAAGCUGUCUUCAAAAACUGGCAAUAAUUGGAUGAGCCUUCUUCCCUUUGCACUGUUAAGAGCUAGAUAUACCCCAUAUGUUUCCAAAAUUUCCCCCUUUAAAGCCAUGUUUGGGAGGCCCCCGCCAUUGGUUCCAAGAUUGUCAGAAGACAAAUUAGCUAAAACUACUAAUUGAGAUCUUAAGUCCCUGCAGACACUCCAACCUGUGUUGGCCUGGAUCCACCAGCUGUUUAGACAAAAACACUUGGACCUGCCUUCAAAGACCAAGGCCUCAAGGACUCCAGUCUUGGUUCGAUGUCAUCACCAUGACUCCCUCGAACCCCACUGGGAAAGACCUUUCACCGUGGUGCUCAGUACCCCCACUGCCAUCAAGGUAGCAGGAAAAACUGCGCGGAUUCACUACACUCAUGUAAAGCCACUGAAAACAGCAGACAACGAGGGACAUACUCAGUGGACUACACAACAGACUGGUAACCCUUAAAGUUAAAAAUUGACUAAAGCAUAGUUAGAUUAUGCUGGUCAUGAACUGUUUUAGCUUGCUUGUUUUGAUUUUAAUAACAUUAAUGCCGACCUUACAUGGCGGCUUUGGUCCCCCUGUAAGCAAAAAAAAACAAUUGUUAAAGAUCUUUGUAUGGGAGCCCCCUUUAAAAAAUGUAAAACGGAAUUCUCCCCUAUCUCCUUCCCUUGAUAAGACCAUUAGUGACCUUAAUCCUAAUCCUAGCCAUUGUCCCUUGCCUCAUUAACUGGAUUACCCAAUUCAUAAGGGGACAAGUCUCUCAGGUCAAAUUAAUGGUCAUACGUCACCAAUAUGAACCCCUAGCUACAACAAACCUCUAAGAUUAGAGGUCAUCCAAAAAAAAAGGGGGGGGGAAUGAAGAGACGAAGAAAGCUCGUUCCAUCUGCUGCUUCCCCUCCCCUUCUCCCUUCAAAUCCAACAAGGUUAAGUUUUAACUUCCUAAAGGCCAUAAAACAAAGGCCUGAGGUACUAGCUCCUGACAUCCUGGGUCUUCCCUAUCUGGUAGCCCCAUCACAAAUUGUGUUAAUUGCAUCAGAUUGUAUUAGAUUGUACAUUCUUCACAGAAAUAGCUUCGUUUAUAUCAUAGUAAUACCUGUAACUGUAAAUGUGUGUCUUCCUUUUUCCCUGGGUAAAAGAUUGAUAUGUUAAUCAAUGUUCUCUUCUGUAAAGAAUUGUAAAAUCUUACCCAAUUGAUAUGUUAACCAUUGUUGCCCUCUACAAAUAGAAAGGUUGUGGUGCUAAAGUAAGGUAAUUAUGUCAGGAAACUCAGAGAUAAAGUCUGCUGACUAUGCUAAUCAAGAUUGGGAAGUAUGUCAGAACCAAGCCACACAGGAGCUAGGUGACCUAAAAAUAAGCUGUGCAAAACAAGACAGUUAAUCAACUCUGACCCACUGGUCGCCCCUCAUGAUCUGACCAAUCACAAAUGGACAAAUCACCAACUGUUCUGCUCUAACUGCUAUGAUUGGCUUCUGUAACAAUGCUUGCUUGCUUUGCGGUUUUCAUCCUUAAAAACACCAGCCUUGCCCCAACUCAGGGUUCUCCGUUUCCACCUGUUUGGAGGACCCCGUGUACACGGAAUAAUAAAAACCCCAUUGUUUUUACAUGAGA